AAAGUCCUCUGCAUGUGCCCCAGGGAUCAAGACUGGAAGCUGCCUACCUUCUUCUAAGUGUGGAUUUCGAAGCCUUCGUAUGAUGGAGAAAGACACCUCUUCCAGGUGGAUGCAGCCGUGCUCCUGGACGCACUCCAUGGGCACUCCACCUUCUAACAAUGUGGCUGAUUUGUUUGGAAUGAGCCUCCAUAUACACCCUUCUAAGAAACUGAAACAAGUUCUCAAGCAGUACUGAAAAUAAGGAGGAAAAUUUCUUUUCAAAAUUUCUAGAGUUAAAAUAAAACCUGUUCACCCUC